ACAAUGAGCCCACAUCACACCAGCCAUGGGUGUGGCCCCCUGGCCGCCCGGUGGCCCCAGUCCCUGCCCGGCCCCAUCUCCAUGUCCUCCUGCUCCCCCUCCCCCUGUGUCCCCAUGUCCCUGUGCCCCUGUGUCUCCGUCCCCGUGUCCUCCUGCUCCCCUUACCCCCCGUGCCCCCGGGUCCCCGUCCCCGGCUGCCCGUCCCUGUGCUCUUACCCCUGUGUCUCUGUGACCCCGUGCCCCUGCUCCUGCGUCUCGGUCUCCGUGCCCCCGUGUGCCCCGUGUGCCCUGUGUGCUCCGUGUAACCCGUGUAACCCGUGUAACCCGUGUAACCCUUGUAACCCGUGUCACGUCUCCAUCCCCGUGUGCCCGCCCCCGUGCCCCCGGCCCUGUGUCCCCGUGUCCCUGUGCCGUAACCCCUGUGUCCCUGUCACCACGUCCCAGGCCCUGUGCCCCUGCCCCCGCGUCCCCGCGUCCCCGUGUCCCCUGCCCCGCGUCCCCGUGUCCCCCUCCUCACGUCUCUGUGUCUCCAAGUACCAGUGCCCCCGCAUCCCCGUGUCCAUGUUCCUGUGUUCCCGCGGCUGCACCCAGGGCUGCCUGUCCUGUGUGAAGUAGGCAGCCGCCCGCUCGGAGCCCGUGGGCUCGGCAGGGGGGGCCGGGCAGAGACGAGGGCGUGCAGCCUCUCCCCCGACGGCCGCCCCCUCGCUGCUCCUGCUCCUGCUCCAGCCCCCUCAGCGCAGGCGCCGGCCCGCGGGCUCCCAGCAGGCCCCAGCAGCUCUCCACCCAGGGGUCACCCGGAAGGCGUGUCCUGUUCCCUCUCGGACGGUCCUGCCCCACGUGUUUGCAGGUGUGGGAGCCAGGCCCGGACCCCAGCACCCCUGCUCUGCCCGUUUAGACCUCCAGGCGGCAGCAACGGGAGAAGCAACGCCACAGGCAGCCUCCGCCCGGCGCUCACUGCGGCUCCUGCUGCCGGACCGACGACCGACCAACCGACCGACCCACCCGGCAGGUCUUCUCCCUGAGGAGCCUCGGCCCUCCUCCGCCUCCCGCCGCCAUCCUGCCGCCUGUCCCCCGCGUCUCUGUGGGGCACUCUGAACUGCAGGUGGGGGGCCCCUCAGCCCCCACAACCUGUUCCGGGUCCUGUCCUCAGAGACGCGGCCUGGCCCAGGGAGAGGACAGGUCUGCUCUGUUCACCACCAAACCCAGGCCCCGGCAGCAGCAGGCGGCAGCCCAGGUCGAAGGGAAGACCCGCCUCCUCCUCCCCGGGGUCGCCCCGCCCGGAUGAGCGUGAGGGUGAGACACCAUCAGAUGGCGGGAACAGGCGUCCUCGCCAUCGGCCAUCGGUUGGAGCCCUGCGUCCUGUCCCGAGGCCUCUGGCACUGAGCCGGUGCCGGCCUGACCGCGCUCCCUCGUGGAAAGUACCUGAGGCGGCGGCCGCAGGCCCUGUCCCGGGUCGGCAUCUGCCUUCCGAGGAGCCGGCAAGACGGGCGGCUGUGCGGGCCUCCCCUUCUGCUCCUCCGCCGGCCUGCCGUUCGGGGCUGAACCAGAGAACCGCCUCAGCUCCAGCGCCCAGGCCCCGAGCUCCUCAGAGCGCUCCCUGGACAGACACCCAGACGGCGCUUCCUGCUUCCGCACCAAGAACCCCUCAGGCCCCGGGCGGUCCCCACGUGCGUCCGAGAACAGCCUGGGAGAGAGAGCCCCUUCUCCGCGCCCGUGGCUGUCUGUCCGCACCCCCACCCACAGCCCCCACGGCGUCGCCUGGACGUUUCCACUUGGGGAAGGACACCGGGCCGCAGCUGCCUGUCAGCUUCCUGUCAAAUCGCAGCCCAGGAGCCUCGGAGGGUCCCUGCACCCGCCCAGCUCCCAGCCGUCCUCUCGUCCUUUCCGGACACAGGGCGGUGCGCUGACCGCGAGCCUCCACCGCAGGGCAGCGGGCGGACACCUGCCCAGGGCAGACGCGGGAGCAGCCCGAGGACUCGCGGCCCCGCCCGUGUCCAGCCAGGAGGCUGGGGACGCAGCGCCCCCUUCACCUGGGUGUGCUGCCCAGUCCCUGCCCUUCACGGCUCCUGGGGCUGUUUCAGCCGCUGCUGCCUCGGCCCCUCCGCGGCCCCCGGCGCUCCCCGAGCGGGUACCUGUCCCCUGGUCGGCCACGCUGAGGUAGGACAGGAGCCCACAGCACAGCAGGAAGGCCAGGAAGAAGAGGAUCACGUUCCGCUGGAGCCUGGACAGCUGCUUCCAUGUCUAAGGCGGGGGCGGAAGGGGCGCUUUCACUGGAAAGAACACACGUGGGAAUCUCCCACGGGGACAGCCUCGGUGAGGACGGGGCGGAGCUCAGAAGGUCCCGCGGCCGUUCCAUUGCGGCUGAACGGGGGCAGCUCCCUGGCGGCGGGUGACCGGCUGGGCCGGAUGCCGGGGCAGAAUGCACCGGGGCAGGUAAGACGAGGAGGGAAACGGGCAUUGAGUCCGCUUCUGUCCGCACACGGGCCGCAGAGAGCGACUCCGCAAGGCGUGUGGAGGGCUCAGGCCCCGCCGGACCUGCCCCUGCCCAGACGCGGCGUGUGGGCGCCCGCCACCGCGGGGAACGCACCGGGGCUCAAAGUGGCCGCACUCCCGCCCCCGGCCCCGCAGGAGAGCUCCCCCGGAACCUCCAUGGGGUCUCAGAAGCACCGGGGCCGGCGGUUUUUCCCAAUUCCGCCUUUUGGCCGAGGACAGACAAAGCGAGGCCACGGGACGUGACUGUGAUACCGAGGUUUCCCGCCGCGGGGAUUUUGUGGAUUAAACACGUGUGUGCACCGAG